ACCCGCUGAACUUAAGCAUAUCAAUAAGCGGAGGAAAAGAAACUAACAAGGAUUCCCCUAGUAACGGCGAGUGAACCGGGAAGAGCUCAAAUUUGAAAUCUGGCAGUCUUCGAUUGUCCGAGUUGUAAUCUAUAGAAGCGUUUUCCGUGCUGAACUGUGUAUAAGUCCCUUGGAACAGGGUAUCAAAGAGGGUGACAAUCCCGUACUUUACACAAUCAUCAGUGCUCUGUGAUACGUUCUCUACGAGUCGAGUUGGUUGGGAAAGCAACCCAAAAAGGGGGGGAAAAUCCAACCAAAACCAAAAAAUGGCCAAAAAACCAAAACCAAAAAAGAACCGGAAGGAAAAAAGAAAAGCACUUUGGAAAGAGAGUUAAACAGUACGUGAAAUUGUUGAAAGGGAAACGAAAUUCAUGAAUCAUGUUUAUUGGACUCAGCCGUUCUUCGGUGUACUUCCUUUAAACGGGUCAACAUCAGUUUUGUCCGAUGGAUAAAGGUAGUAGGAAGGUGGCUCUCUCGGGAGUGUUAUAGCCUAUUGCUGCAUACAUUGGAUGAGACUGAGGACUGCAGCUUGCCUUUAUGGCCGGGGUUCGCCCACGUC
rnacentral:rRNA from 1 species